rfam:Spraguea lophii 42_110 Contig_1628, whole genome shotgun sequence.
UCCUCGUUGGUCCAAUGGUUAGGAUAUCGGUCUUUCACACCGGUGGCCCGGGUUCGAUUCCCGGACGAGGAA